ACGUAAUACCACGACCAAAAUCUGACGUUUCUGCAACGUUGUAUAGUGGUUGUGGAAAUUACUUACGAAAAUUAUAUUUAUGAAGAUUUGUUUGAAGACACAGAUAUCUUAUCGCCGUGACUUUAAGUCAAAGAGAGAAACACAGGUCCGUAGCAGGAGACGCUUUUUUUGGCACAGUAUGAUGCAUCCCGUUAGUGUUGCUUAGACGCCAGACAAAAUCUUGAGACUUAACUUCCUUGAUUUCCUAAAAAUGCAUUCUCUGCAUAAGUUUUGUCCCCAUUAUCGACAAAAAUAUUUGGGAGCUGUGUCCCCUAACCCCUACGCUGCUACGGCCCUGAAACAUAAGACCUUGGGAACGAGUUUGUCUUUUUAUUUUGGUCAGUCUGACUUAGAGUAGUGUUAAUAAUAUGUAUAUCUAAAUGUUGCAUGGUAAGUGCGACCACGAUAUAUUCCGGCGCGCUUCUUUCAAUGAGGGCUCCCUAUGAACUUUAUUUGAAACAUGAAAUAUGUUUGAUGGGUGUCCUGGAUAUGUUUAUUUGUUUUUAUUUUGUAUCAAAGUUAGCUUUAUGAUUGUUAGGAUAUUAACUUGUUUUUUUUUAAUGAACUGGAUGAGUUUUUUUGCUAAGAAAAUGUAAGAUCGUCUGACUGGCAGUCUUAAAACUUCUAAAGGAUAGCAAAUAAAAACAAACCUAGCACACUAGCCUAGUAAUUAAAGAAUUUCAAGGUGCUUUAUACUCACUAGUUAAAAUUAAAAAUAUCUUGUUGAGGCAGUCUACUGAUUGUGUAGCAACAACUCCAGAGUUUGAAAGAAACAGAGAGCAUAGAAGAAUGUGACAAGUAUAUAAUUGGCGAACAAAGAUUACUUCGAAUCAAUGGUGUCACAGUUAUCAAAAGUCGGUGGGGAAAAUGUGAAGGAAGCUACAAGAAAUAUAAUGAAAUAGUUGAUGAGUUAUUCAAUCAUUUCACUUUUCAAUAUGAACGGGAAAAGAACAAAGAAGGGCUUGAUUAAAAAAAGAAUUAGAGUGUUGAUAGUGCAGCAGCAAAUGCAGCCGAGAAAAAAAAAGGAAAUGGCAUCCGUAUUGAAGUAUGCCCCAGACCAGGAUAGUGAGAUUGGACGAAAUGCGAAAAGUGCAGAACAAGUUUAACUUCCAUUUCUACAUUUAUAUGUAUUCUUCUUUUGUCAUAGAGAUAGCAAUUUAUUAUAUAUACAUAUAUAACCUAAUUACACCCUAAUAAUUCAACCAGGCAAAAUUUCAGUUUU